rnacentral:rRNA from 1 species
AGGACGAACGCUGGCGGCGUGCUUAACACAUGCAAGUCGAACGGAGUAAAACGCUGAUUUGAUGGUAGCUUGCUACUGGAUUUCUUGUUUACUUAGUGGCGGACGGGUGAGUAACGCGUGAGUAACCUGCCUCUAAGUGGGGAAUAACGUUCUGAAAAGAACGCUAAUACCGCAUAAUGUUAGUUUACCGCAUGAUAGACUAACCAAAGAUUUAUCGCUUAGAGAUGGACUCGCGUCCGAUUAGCUAGUUGGUGGGGUAACGGCCUACCAAGGCGACGAUCGGUAGCCGGACUGAGAGGUUGAACGGCCACAUUGGGACUGAGACACGGCCCAGACUCCUACGGGAGGCAGCAGUGGGGGAUAUUGCGCAAUGGGGGAAACCCUGACGCAGCAACGCCGCGUGAAGGAAGACGGUUUUCGGAUUGUAAACUUCUUUUAUAAGGGACGAAAUUGACGGUACCUUAUGAAUAAGCUCCGGCUAACUACGUG